rnacentral:lncRNA from 1 species
CUGACUAUCAAUCUAUGCAUUGAAUAUACUUGACUUAUUGCUUAUAGUAUCUAAAUUAUUUCUGGACCUUUUAUAGCCGACCAUGCUGUAUGGGCUUUUUUGAAGGCCGUACGGUGACCUAUAGUUGUUAAUUUCUGUGUCAUUUUGGUCUCUUGUGGAGAGUUGUCUCAUUGGAAAUCAUACCACAUCUUCUUUUUUAUAUUAACCAUGAAAACUUAACAUUGACCAAUGAACCAUGAAAAUAAGGUCAGAGUCAGAUGAUACCUGGCAGACAGACAAAUACAUUUUAC